GUCUAUGGCCAUGGUACCCUGAACAAACCCAAUCCCGUCUGAUCUCAGAAGCUAAGCAGGUUUGGGCUUGAUUAGUACUUGGAUAAGAGAUCACCUAAGAAGACUAGGUGCUGUAGACA
rnacentral:rRNA from 1 species